AGAAGCACAAACAGGCAGGUGGACACACUGAGGAAGGCCCCCCACGUGUGAGAGUCCCCCUAGAAGGAACACACCUCCCCCUGGCCCCCAGGAAGGGAGCACAAUGGAGGCCGCACACUCCAAGACCACAGAGGAAUGUCUGGCCCAUUUUGGGGUAAGCGAGACAAUAGGCCUCACCCCGGACCAAGUUAAGCGGCAUCUGGAGAAAUACGGCCCCAAUGAGCUCCCGGCUGAGGAAGGGAAGUCCCUGUGGGAGUUGGUGGUAGAGCAGUUUGAAGACCUCCUGGUGCGGAUCCU